UACGAAGGGGGCUAGCGUUGUUCGGAAUUACUGGGCGUAAAGCGCAUGUAGGCGGGUUAUUAAGUCAGGGGUGAAAUCCCGGAGCUCAACUCCGGAACUGCCUUUGACACUGGUAAUCUAGAGAUCGGAAGAGGUUAGUGGAAUUCCCAGUGUAGAGGUGAAAUUCGUAGAUAUUGGGAAGAACACCAGUGGCGAAGGCGGCUAACUGGUCCGAUACUGACGCUGAGGUGCGAAAGCGUGGGGAGCAAACAGG
rnacentral:rRNA from 1 species